GACGAACGCUGGCGGCGUGCUUAACACAUGCAAGUCGAACGAAGAGCGAUGGAAGCUUGCUUCUAUCAAUCUUAGUGGCGAACGGGUGAGUAACGCGUAAUCAACCUGCCCUUCAGAGGGGGACAACAGUUGGAAACGACUGCUAAUACCGCAUACGAUCUAAACUCGGCAUCGAGGAUAGAUGAAAGGUGGCCUCUACAUGUAAGCUAUCACUGAAGGAGGGGAUUGCGUCUGAUUAGCUAGUUGGAGGGGUAACGGCCCACCAAGGCGAUGAUCAGUAGCCGGUCUGAGAGGAUGAACGGCCACAUUGGGACUGAGACACGGCCCAGGCUCCUACGGGAGGGAGCAGGUGGGAAACUUCCGCAAUGGACGAAAGUCUGGCGGAGCAACGCCGCGGGAGUGAUGACGGCCUUCGGGUUGGAAAGCUCUGUUAAUCGGGACGAAAGGCCUUCUUGCGAAUAGUGGGAAGGAUUGACGGUACCGGAAUAGAAAGCCACGGCUAACUACGUG
rnacentral:rRNA from 1 species